rnacentral:rRNA from 1 species
UCCGGAUUCACUGGGUUUAAAGGGUGCGUAGGUGGGUAUGUAAGUCAGUGGUGAAAUCCACAGGCUUAACCUGGGAACUGCCGUUGAUACUAUAUAUCUUGAAUGCCGUAGAGGUAAGCGGAAUAUGUCAUGUAGCGGUGAAAUGCUUAGAGAUGACAUAGAACACCAAUUGCGAAGGCAGCUUACUAUGCGGUUAUUGACACUGAGGCACGAAAGCGUGGGUAGCAAACAGG